ACCUAAAACAUCUGCAACUCCUGGUGCCCAGACUUCUAGAUCAAAAACCCUAUUUGUUGGCAACCUAUCCUAUUCAGUCGAAAGAGCUGAUGUAGAGGAAUUCUUCAAAGGUGCUGGUGAAGUUGUUGACGCCCGAUUUGCAUCAAAUGAAGAGGGUGUCUUCAAGGGAUUCGACCAUGUUGAGUUUGCCACUGAGGCAGCAGCUCACAAGAUUCAUUUUGCCGAACAUAUCAAUGUAUUCGAGAGUUCGUCAAGCUUUCAGAUACAAAAUAGGUGAACAAUCGAUGUCUAUAGUCAUGGUUCAUGGGAAACUUGAACCUUUUAUUUUCUUUUCUUUAAUAACUUUCAUGUUCUUUCCAUACUGUUUGUAAAUUGCAAUGAUAUUGUUAAUGUUGUUCAUUGGUGGAUCAGAGCAUUGAGAAUGCUUGGAAGGUGAGGAAAAAUUCAUAUUUGAAUUUGAAUUUCCAGUAGCAACAGCAAGAUAAAGAAAGAAAUAUGUACGGCUAGAUUUUAGUAUAUUGCAUUAUCAUUUUUCUCUCUUUUUUUUUUGGCAUAUAUUGCAGAUAUCCAUAAUCACAAGUGGCUGGGACCUGGAAUAAUAACUUCUAUAGUUGGUGCAGCAGUAUUUGUAGUAAGCUGCGUAGCGGCCCUUGUUUCAAUCCACAUCCAUAUCUCACAUAAAUGUAAGCUUAAGAGAUUGGAGAUUAU